rnacentral:ncRNA from 2 species
UUCAGAAAAAGGCAAAUCUUUCGAAAGAAAGCGACGCAAAGCUACAGAUCUAAGGUGCAACGGCACUAUGAUGGCUGAGCUCCCUGG